rnacentral:misc_RNA from 1 species
GAUGAAGAACGUAGCAAAAUGCGAUAAGUAAUGUGAAUUGCAGAAUUCAGUGAAUCAUCGAAUCUUUGAACGCACAUUGCGCCCGCCAGUAUUCUGGCGGGCAUGCCUGUUCGAGCGUCAUUUCAACCCUCAAGCACAGCUUGGUGUUGGGACUCGCGUUAAUUCGCGUUCCCCAAAUUGAUUGGCGGUCACGUCGAGCUUCCAUAGCGUAGUAGUAAAACCCUCGUUACUGGUAAUCGUCGCGGCCACGCCGUUAAACCCCAACUUCUGAAUGUUGACCUCGGAUCAGGUAGGAAUACCCGCUGAACUUAAGCAUAUCAAUAAGCGGAGGGA